AUUAGCCAUGCAUGUCUCAGUACAAGCCACAUUAAGGUGAAACCGCGAAAGGCUCAUUAAAUCAGUUAUGGUUCCUUAGAUCGUACCCACAUUUACUUGGAUAACUGUGGUAAUUCUAGAGCUAAUACAUGCAAACAGAGUUCCGACCGGAGACGGGAGGAAUGCUUUUAUUAGAUCAAAACCAAUCGGCGGCGGGCCUCGGUCCGUUCGCCGCUCAAUUUGGUGACUCUGAAUAACUUUCGGCUGAUCGCACGGUCUCGCACCGGCGACGCAUCUUUCAAAUGUCUGCCUUAUCAACUGUCGAUGGUAGGUUCUGCGCCUACCAUGGUCGUAACGGGUAACGGGGAAUCAGGGUUCGAUUCCGGAGAGGGAGCCUGAGAAACGGCUACCACAUCCAAGGAAGGCAGCAGGCGCGCAAAUUACCCACUCCCGGCACGGGGAGGUAGUGACGAAAAAUAACGAUACGGGACUCAUCCGAGGCCCCGUAAUCGGAAUGAGUACACUUUAAAUCCUUUAACGAGGAUCAAUUGGAGGGCAAGUCUGGUGCCAGCAGCCGCGGUAAUUCCAGCUCCAAUAGCGUAUAUUAAAGUUGUUGCGGUUAAAAAGCUCGUAGUUGAAUCUGUGUCUCGCGCUGUCGGUUCGCCGCCCGCGGCGUUAAACUGGCACGCCCGCGAGACGUCCUGCCGGUGGGGACCGCGCGCCGUCGCCUCGGCGUUCGGCGCGCGUCCCGACUUGAAAUCCUACCGCGGUGCUCUUCGCUGAGUGUCGAGGUGGGCCGGCACGUUUACUUUGAACAAAUUAGAGUGCUCAAAGCAGGCUAAAACUUCGCCUGAAUACUGUGUGCAUGGAAUAAUGGGAACAGGACCUCGGUUCUAUUUUGUUGGUUUUCGGAACCCCGAGGUAAUGAUUAAUAGGGACAGAUGGGGGGCAUUCGUAUUGCGACGUUAGAGGUGAAAUUCUUGGAUCGUCGCAAGACGGACAGAAGCGAAAGCAUUUGCCAAAAAUGUUUUCAUUUA
rnacentral:rRNA from 1 species